UAAGAUGAAGCUGAUUUCUUGGAGAGAGUGUUGCAGCUAGGGGUGAGCAUUCGAAUUUCGGAUCGAAUUUUUGCCCGAUCCAAUCCGAUUCAAAAUCUAAAAUUCUCCUAAAAUUUAAUCCGAUCCGAACCAUAUUAUCCGAAAAUCCAAAAAAAUUCGAAUAAAAUCCGAUCUGAACCGAAAAUCUAAAAAAUUAAAAAAAAAUCUGAAAUGUGAAAAAAAAAU
rnacentral:lncRNA from 1 species